rnacentral:tRNA from 3 species
GCGGGGGUCGCCGAGCCAGGUCAAAGGCGCAGGCUUCAGGAGCCUGUCCCGUAGGGGUUCGUGGGUUCGAAUCCCACCCCCCGCACCA